rnacentral:lncRNA from 1 species
AUUAAUUGGUUCCGAGGCUCACGUCUCGUUCUCAUCAAAUAUUCGUCAUUCAUCCUAAAAAUCAUACAACAUAUCAAACCUACAACCUUUCGAUCACAAGAGUACAUUUGUCUAAUCCUUUCAAGCGCCUACAAACUUGCACUUAAGUCUUCAUCGCGGGUAAGCAAACCAUGUUUUAUCGUUAGAAUGCGAUCUAGACAUGUGGUCAAUCCUAACAAACUUUAAUCAAUCAAACUUUUUUUUUCUCAAAAAUAACAUUGCUUAAUCCCCUC